UACGGGCCGCAGCAGGCGCGAAACCUCUGCAAUAGGCGAAAGCCUGACAGGGUUACUCUGAGUGAUUUCCGCUAAGGGGAUCUUUUGGCACCUCUAAAAAUGGUGCAGAAUAAGGGGUGGGCAAGUCUGGUGUCAGCCGCCGCGGUAAUACCAGCACCCCGAGUGGUCGGGACGAUUAUUGGGCCUAAAGCAUCCGUAGCCGGUUCUGCAAGUCUUCCGUUAAAUCCAGCCGCUCAACGGAUGGGCCGCGGAGGAUACUACAGGACUAGGAGGCGGGAGAGGCAAGCGGUACUCAGUGGGUAGGGGUAAAAUCCUUUGAUCCAUUGAAGACCACCAGUGGCGAAGGCGGCUUGCCAGAACGCGCUCGACGGUGAGGGAUGAAAGCUGGGGGAGCAAACCGGAUUAGAUACCCGGGUAGUCCCAGCUGUAAACCGAUGCAGACUCGGUGAUGGGCUAGCCUUGUGCCAGCCCAGUGCCGCAGGGAAGC
rnacentral:rRNA from 1 species